AAUAUUGGACAAUGGGGGCAACCCUGAUCCAGCCAUGCCGCGUGUGUGAAGAAGGUCUUUGGAUUGUAAAGCACUUUAAGUUGGGAGGAAGGGCGUUAGGUUAAUACCUUGAAGUUUUGACGUUACCAACAGAAUACGCACCGGCUAACUCUGUGCCAGCAGCAGCGGUAAUACAGAGGGUGCAAGCGUUAAACGGAAUUACAGGGGGUAAAGCGCGCGUAGGUGGUUCAGUAAGAUGGGUGUGAAAACCCCGGGCUUAACCUGGGAACUGCUUUCAUAACUGCUGAGCUAGAGUACGGUAGAGGGUAGUGGAAUUUCCUGUGUAGCGGUGAAAUGCGUAGAUAUAGGAAGGAACACCAGUGGCGAAGGCGACUACCUGGACUGAUACUGACACUGAGGUGCGAAAGCGUGGGGAGCAAAC
rnacentral:rRNA from 1 species